rnacentral:lncRNA from 1 species
CCAUUACCUGACCAGUCAUCGGUCACUCCUUAUGAUCCUGGGAGGAGGUAGACCCAGCAAAGCUACCCCAGAAGCCUAGAACCCAAGUGACGGUGAUCUCUAAGUCCCCAUUCGGGGCACAACUCUACCCCCGAUCGACGAUCCCCCCAGCAGUCGGGAGCCUAUACUGCUCGAGACCCCGAUAUCAAGCAGCUUUUUUGAGAUCUGAACUGAUGGAUCGAUGUGAUUUGCCAUCAAAAGUCAGCAUCGCAUGAUGAAUUUAGCAACGACCCUCCUUUCAUCCCCC